CACCGACCUAUCUGAACAGAACCACGCGCUGUCUGUGUGGUUUCACUGUUACAAGUUUCUUGGCGACAUGGGGGAAAGUUCCUCACAUACCAACGGAAAAUGGGCUUCACAUACAUGCUGCUGUCUCAUAAUAUGGCGAAGACGAGUCACUUGAAGGCCUAACAGCUCUUAUGAGGAGCAGUCUUGCCAUAGAAGACUGAAAGAAUGAGCUGUAGAAACAACAGGGUGCCUGCUGCAGUAUGACGAGGACGCCCUGAUCAUAGAAGGUCCAGUGUCUUGGCAGGGUGAAAUGCCACUGAUAUCGUGUCCUGCAGGAUGCUGUGUCCUGCAAUCCUGUGUGCUGUGCUACAGACGCGUGUGGAGGUCAACCCGAAAUGGGCACAGUAGCGUGAAAGAGGAUCCUGGCAGGGAGACGGUAGUGUCCUGCAGGAUGGUGAUGGGCAAUCUUACAAGAGACCACAGAAAACUGAUAUAGUGUAAGAUUAUCCCUGUUGGGCUCAAUAUGUCUUGCUUAUUGAUAUAUUUGCUAUGUCAAUAUGAGGUGCAUGACGAAGUAUUUAUUUAUUUGUUGUUUCUACAGCUCCCAGAAGUGAGACUGAGUGCCUGUUGCAGUAUGACGAGGACACAGUGACCAGAGACCUUCAGUAGACCCUGCUGGCAUGAUUAGCGGCUGAAGAACAUAAUCAACAGCAAUGUUUAUAAUAUUGUACAUACCUGUAUAGUCUGCACUAAAAUGCUGUACCUGUACUAUUUUUCCUCUUACUUUCAUAUUUACUAUGAAUUGACAACUUUUACUCAAAUCCAUUUUUGUAUGUGCCCUGACUAAAACUAUCCUUAAACCUAACCUGUCAGAGGUGUAAUAACAACCUGCUCUUAGCAAUGUGGCAGCAGUCUACUUGGAUGCAGCGGGGAACAUAGAACCCUUUUUUUGAAAAAGCAUUGUAUGUUUCUGAGUUUUAUGAAUUGUGCCCUUCCCAAACCUAACCUGUCGUAGGGGCCUAUGA